UACGUAGGGGGCAAGCGUUGUCCGGAUUUAUUGGGCGUAAAGAGCGUGUAGGCGGCUUUACAGGUCCGCUGUGAAAACUCGAGGCUCAACCUCGAGCUGUCGGUGGAAACCGUGUGGCUAGAGUCCGGAAGAGGAGAGUGGAAUUCCCGGUGUAGCGGUGAAAUGCGCAGAUAUCGGGAAGAACACCCGUGGCGAAGGCGGCUCUCUGGGACGGUACUGACGCUGAGACGCGAAAGCGUGGGGAGCGAACAGG
rnacentral:rRNA from 1 species